AGGAAAACGUCUGUUGGUUGGAGUUGGUUAGCACAUCAAAAACUUGCUGUUUGCAAAACAAGCUCUUCCUCUCAGUCUGAAAGCGCUGGAUUUUCAAGAAGAAGUUUUCCAGAAUGUUGCGUAAACCUAGCAGUCUGGGAAGAAAGAAAGAUUGGGCCUUUGACUACAAUGGAAUCUAUAGACUAGUUCCUUCCUAUCAGUGUUUGCAUAGAGGACAAACAAGGAAUAGAAAGAUCCAAAGGUCUAAAAAGAGGUUCAGAGCACAGAGAAUGAGGAGAGUCUACCUUAGGAAUAGGAACUGGUAUUACCGGAAGUUUAGACAUCAAACUUUAGUAAUUAAAAUUCUGCUAUAAAUACCUUCAAGAUGAGACACAGGCAGAAAACACCCAGCAAGAACGAAACAGUGCAAGAAAUAUAGGACAGCUUUGGCAAAAUGCAUAAAAAAAAUGUUAAUAAUAAAAUGUAAUAAAUGCAAUUAUAACAAGC